GAUGAACGCUGGCGGCGUGCUUAACACAUGCAAGUCGAACGAUGAAGCCCAGCUUGCUGGGUGGAUUAGUGGCGAACGGGUGAGUAACACGUGAGUAACCUGCCCUUAACUCUGGGAUAAGCCUGGGAAACUGUGGCUAAUACCGGAUAGGAGCGUCCACCGCAUGGGGGGGGUUUGAAAGAUUUAUCGGUUUUGGAUGGACUCGCGGCCUAUCAGCUUGUUGGUGUGGUAAUGGCUCACCAAGGCGACGACGGGUAGCCGGCCUGAGAGGGUGACCGGCCACACUGGGACUGAGACACGGCCCAGACUCCUACGGGAGGCAGCAGUGGGGAAUAUUGCACAAUGGGCGCAAGCCUGAUGCAGCGACGCCGCGUGAGGGAUGACGGCCUUCGGGUUGUAAACCUCUUUCAGUAGGGAAGAAGCGAAAGUGACGGUACCUGGAGAAGAAGCACCGGCUAACUACGUG
rnacentral:rRNA from 1 species